UACGUAGGGUGCGAGCGUUGUCCGGAAUUAUUGGGCGUAAAGGGCUCGUAGGCGGUCUGUCACGUCGGGAGUGAAAACUCAGGGCUUAACCCUGAGCCUGCUUCCGAUACGGGCAGACUAGAGGUAUGCAGGGGAGAACGGAAUUCCUGGUGUAGCGGUGAAAUGCGUAGAUAUCGAGAGGAACACCUGCGGCGAAGGCGGGUUGCUGGGCUGACACUGACGCUGAUGCGCGAAAGCUAGGGGAGCGAACGGG
rnacentral:rRNA from 1 species